CUAGCAUAACUGACUGAUUAAAGAUUUCCAGCAUGUCUCAGACUUUCUUAUUCACAGCUAUCAUAAUGAUGUUUUUAACAGGUGCUAGUGGUCUGACGUUGACUCAGACCCCAUCAGUGGUGGUAUCUUUAGGGGACAAAGCCACAUUACCCUGCAAUCCAGAUGGAGAUCCUGGAGGCAAUGCUAUAUCAUGGUAUCAACAAAGACCUGGGAAUGCUCCACGAUACCUUCUUUAUCACUACUCUGUUUCUUCUAACAACAAAGGCCCCGGGGUUCCUGAGCGGUUCUCUGGAUUCCAAAACAAUGCUAAUAGAAUUGCACAUUUAACAAUCUCUGGUGUCCAGGCAGAGGACAAUGCUGAUUAUUACUGUACAGUAUGGGAUACUAGCACAAGCUCACGCACAGUGACACAGCGAAGGAAGGAAGUGAAACAAAAACGUCCUGCAUGA